rnacentral:rRNA from 1 species
UACGUAGGGUGCAAGCGUUGUCCGGAAUUAUUGGGCGUAAAGAGCUCGUAGGCGGUUUGUUAAGUUUGGGCUUAAAGACUGGGGCUCAACCCCAGGAGUGGCUCGAAAACUGACAGACUAGAGGAUGGCAGAGGAAAGUGGAAUUCCCAGUGUAGCGGUGAAAUGCGCAGAUAUCGGGAGGAACACCUAUGGCGAAGGCAGCUCGCUGGGACGUUACUGACGCUGAGACGCGAAAGCGUGGGGAGCAAACAGG